rnacentral:rRNA from 1 species
AUUCAUCGGAAGAGGAUGGGCAUGCGGCGCAUUAGCUAGACGGCGGGGUAACGGCCCACCGUGGCGACGAUGCGUAGGGGUUCUGAGAGGAAGGUCCCCCACACUGGUACUGAGACACGGACCAGACUCCUACGGGAGGCAGCAGUGAGGAAUAUUGGUCAAUGGGAGAGAUCCUGAACCAGCCAAGCCGCGUGAGGGAAGACGGCCCUAUGGGUUGUAAACCUCUUUUGUCGGAGAACAAAACCCGGGACGAGUCCCGGACUGCGUGUAUCCGAAGAAAAAGCAUCGGCUGACUCCGUGCCAGCAGCCGCGGUAAUACGGAGGAUGCGAGCGUUAUCCGGAUUUAUUGGGUUUAAAGGGUGCGUAGGCGGUCCGUUAAGUCAGCGGUAAAAUUGCGGGGCUCAACCCCGUCGAGCCGUUGAAACUGGCAGACUUGAGUUGGCGAGAAGUACGCGGAAUGCGCGGUGUAGCGGUGAAAUGCAUAGAUAUCGCGCAGAACUCCGAUUGCGAAGGCAGCGUACCGGCGCCACACUGACGCUGAGGCACGAAAGCGUGGGGAUCGAACAGGAUUAGAUACCCUGGUAGUCCACGCAGUAAACGAUGAAUGCUGGUUGUCCGGGUCGAAUGAGAUCUGG